UGUUCUGUAAAGGCACAACGACUCAGCAUCAUGGCGCCCUCUAUCGGAGGUGUUCCUAUUAUUUCAUACAUUCGUCGGUCACUUUAAUAGGCGCACCUGUACCCCUCCCUGCGCAUGCAUGCUAUUAUCCAUUUAUCCAAGCAGGACAGAGUCGCCCUGGUCUUUUACCAGUCUUCAUCAAUGCACUUUUGGAAAUUUUGCAUGGAGCUCAGCCGUUUCUGAAAUACUCAAACCAGCCCAUCUUUCAGCGUCAACCAUGCUACAGUCAAAGUCGCUGAGAUCACAUUUUUCCUCAUUCUGAUGUUUGAUGUGGACAUUAACCAAAGCUUUUGACCUGUAUCUGCAGGGUUGUAUUCACUGCACAGCUUCCAUGUGAUUAGCUGUUAACUGCUUGAAUGAGUAGUUGUACAGAUGUUAAUAUUAACAUGAACUGUGAGUCUAUGUUGGUUAUACAGCAUGUGUUCCAUAGUUUGUCUCAUAAAUAUAUCCUCAUUAAAUUAAUGCAUAAUUUU